rnacentral:lncRNA from 1 species
GCGAGCACAAUGCAAAUUAUUUUUUCAAUUUUCACUAAAUUUUACCAUGUGCUCGCCCCUUUAUACACAUCAUCCGCCAAUUAUUAUUAUUAUUAUUAUUAUUUAACAAGGGUUUCUUUUGCGAAGCCCUGCAAGCUUACUCUACUAAAUUUUUUAAUGUGUCCGUUAGUUCCAAUUUGGCGACAAGCCAUACACACUUCGAAAUUACAAUGUUCUAUCAAUCUCUGUGUUUGAGUGGUAACACGACUGGUUAAAAUAUGAUGACCGAAUUCUUCCCCAUGCAUCUUAUCGAGGUUCCAUGUCGCUAAUCGUCACAUCAUUUUUAGAAACCGAGUUGGAUUUUUCCUCGCGCUGAUAGGAGCUCUUCCGCUUUGGCGGAUUGGACUUUCUGUUUCUUGAAGCCACAUCUGGCUCGGUGGUUGCACUAACUUCAACAAAAAAUGCAGGCACAGAAGGAGCGCAAACAGUGACAGAGUGGC